rnacentral:rRNA from 1 species
AGUGAACGCUGGCGGUAGGCCUAACACAUGCAAGUCGAACGGCAGCACAGUAAGAGCUUGCUCUUACGGGUGGCGAGUGGCGGACGGGUGAGGAAUACAUCGGAAUCUACUUUUUCGUGGGGGAUAACGUAGGGAAACUUACGCUAAUACCGCAUACGACCUACGGGUGAAAGCAGUGGAUCUUCGGACCUUGCGCGAUUGAAUGAGCCGAUGUCGGAUUAGCUUGUUGGCGGGGUAAAGGCCCACCAAGGCGACGAUCCGUAGCUGGUCUGAGAGGAUGAUCAGCCACACUGGAACUGAGACACGGUCCAGACUCCUACGGGAGGCAGCAGUGGGGAAUAUUGGACAAUGGGCGCAAGCCUGAUCCAGCCAUACCGCGUGGGUGAAGAAGGCCUUCGGGUUGUAAAGCCCUUUUGUUGGGAAAGAAAAGCAGCAGGUUAAUCCCCCGCUGUUCUGACGGUACCCAAAGAAUAAGCACCGGCUAACUUCGUG